GCUUUCUUCUGCUCUCAGGAAUGCUUCAAGAACAGCUGGCGGGAACAUAAGAAACUCCACCGGAGAGCCCGUGCAGAGACCCAGCCCGGGACCGACAGGGUGACCUCAGAGCUCGAACCUCAGCCCCACGAGGUGGGCUCACCCGCCAAGCUCCAACAAAAGGUCCAAGUCCAAGUCAAGUCUCACGUCCCUGAGAUCCAAGUCAAGUCUCACGUCCCUGAGCUCCAGGUCCAAGCCAAGCCUCCAGUCUCUUAUGUCCAAGCCAAGCCUCCAGGCUCUGACGCCCAAGCCAAGCCUCCAGGCUCUGACGCCCAAGCCAAGCCUCCAGGCUCUGACGCACAAGCCAAGCUUCA
ensembl:lncRNA